rnacentral:rRNA from 1 species
GACGAACGCUGGCGGCGUGCCUAAUACAUGCAAGUCGAGCGGACGAAUCGAAAGCUUGCUUUUGAUUCGUUAGCGGCGGACGGGUGAGUAACACGUGGGCAACCUGCCCUGUAGACGGGGAUAACACCGAGAAAUCGGUGCUAAUACCGGAUAACACGAAAUGUCGCAUGACGUUUCGUUGAAAGACGGCGCAAGCUGUCGCUACAGGAUGGGCCCGCGGCGCAUUAGCUAGUUGGUGAGGUAACGGCUCACCAAGGCGACGAUGCGUAGCCGAGCUGAGAGGGUGAUCGGCCACACUGGGACUGAGACACGGCCCAGACUCCUACGGGAGGCAGCAGUAGGGAAUCUUCCGCAAUGGACGAAAGUCUGACGGAGCAACGCCGCGUGAGCGAAGAAGGCCUUCGGGUCGUAAAGCUCUGUUGUUAGGGAAGAACAAGUAACGCAGUAACUGGCGUUACCGUGACGGUACCUAACGAGAAAGCCACGGCUAACUACGUG